AAAAAUCAAAAGAAGAAGAAGAAGGCUGCACGCAUGCGCGUUGAAGCUGUUCCGUGAGACAAAGGACGAAGGCUAAGCUGCGAGUUCCAGAAUCCCGAUAUUCAGGCAAUUGGGUGCGCCAUCCAUUUAUCACAAAGGCAUGCAGGGGUGUUUACAAGCAGACGACCACAGCUAAAGUGGAUUGUGAGCUUGGAGAGGUCCUGAAACUGGCCACUUUUCGAAAGGGAGGUUCAAAAUGUGAGGAGAAGAGGAGGAAUUAAGAGGGAGGGCAAAAAAGGAAAAAGAAACAAGCAAAAGAACAGAGAUAGUGACAGUGAGUUGAGUGACCAGGAAGCGACGGCGAAGAACAAGGAUAAAGCCAAGAAAACGGACAGUGACAUCUCACUGUUAUGUUAUGUUAUUUUCAUUUAUUAUACGCCCCCCAACCAACUGUUACAUCAGCCCGGGGCGCAGCCCGAGUGGAGAAACAAAAAAAAAAACAGAAACAGAGACUGAGACACACAAAGGAAUCUAAACCAAACAUUUAAGACUCACAAUGAAAACAUAAAUUAAAAGUCAUCUGCGGUAAAAAGGUGAGUUUUAAGCCGUACUCUAAAAGAGUCCAGAGUGGUGGCGGACUUAAUACUCAGGGGGAGCUUAUUCCACAACCUAGGUGCCAUCACUGAGAAAGCACGGUCUCCCCUUGUCACUAGGUUUGACCGUGGGACCUUCAGGGUCAUCUGGUUGUCUGAUCUAAGGCAACGACCCAGCCUGGAGCUGGUGGGUUGGUCCAGGAGAUCUUUAAUAUAAGCUGGGGCGAGACCAUUGAGCGCUUUGAAGACGAACAUGACGAUCUUAAAUUUCACUCUACGCUUCACUGGGAG